rnacentral:rRNA from 1 species
ACGUUCUCGGGUCUUGUACACACCGCCCGUCACACCAUGGAAGUGGAUUGCACCAGAAGUAGAUAGUCUAACCUUAGGGAGGGCGUUUACCACGGUGUGCUUCAUGACUGGGGUGAAGUCGUAACAAGGUAACCGUAGGGGAACCUGUGGCUGGAUCACCUCCUU